rnacentral:rRNA from 1 species
GAUGAACGCUGGCGGCGUGCUUAACACAUGCAAGUCGAACGGGAAACCUUUUAUUGAAGCUUCGGCAGAUUUAGCUGGUUUCUAGUGGCGGACGGGUGAGUAACGCGUGGGUAACCUGCCUUAUACAGGGGGAUAACAACCAGAAAUGGUUGCUAAUACCGCAUAAGCGCACAGGACCGCAUGGUCCGGUGUGAAAAACUCCGGUGGUAUAAGAUGGACCCGCGUUGGAUUAGCUAGUUGGCAGGGUAACGGCCUACCAAGGCGACGAUCCAUAGCCGGCCUGAGAGGGUGAACGGACACAUUGGGACUGAGACACGGCCCAGACUCCUACGGGAGGCAGCAGUGGGGAAUAUUGCACAAUGGGGGAAACACUGAUGCAGCGACGGCGCGUGAAGGAAGAAGUAUCUCGGUAUGUAAACUUCUAUAAGCAGGGAAGAUAGUGACGGUACCUGACUAAGAAGCCCCGGCUAACUACGUG